UACGUAGGUGGCAAGCGUUGUCCGGAUUUAUUGGGCGUAAAGCGAGCGCAGGCGGUUCUUUAAGUCUGAUGUGAAAGCCCCCGGCUCAACCGGGGAGGGUCAUUGGAAACUGGGGAACUUGAGUGCAGAAGAGGAGAGUGGAAUUCCAUGUGUAGCGGUGAAAUGCGUAGAUAUAUGGAGGAACACCGGUGGCGAAAGCGGCUCUCUGGACUGUAACUGACACUGAGGCUCGAAAGCGUGGGUAGCAAACAGG
rnacentral:rRNA from 1 species